rnacentral:rRNA from 1 species
GAUGAACGCUGGCGGCGUGCUUAACACAUGCAAGUCGAACGGAAAGGCUCCUGCUUGCAGGGGUACUCGAGUGGCGAACGGGUGAGUAACACGUGGGUGAUCUGCCCUGCACUUCGGGAUAAGCCUGGGAAACUGGGUCUAAUACCGGAUAGGACGAUGGUUUGGAUGCCAUUGUGGAAAGUUUUUUCGGUGUGGGAUGAGCUCGCGGCCUAUCAGCUUGUUGGUGGGGUAAUGGCCUACCAAGGCGUCGACGGGUAGCCUGCCUGAGAGGGUGUACGGCCACAUUGGGACUGAGAUACGGCCCAGACUCCUACGGGAGGCAGCAGUGGGGAAUAUUGCACAAUGGGCGCAAGCCUGAUGCAGCGACGCCGCGUGGGGGAUGACGGCCUUCGGGUUGUAAACUCCUUUCGCUAGGGACGAAGCGAAAGUGACGGUACCUGGAGAAGAAGCACCGGCUAACUACGUG